CAUUACUGAAGUCGCUGAGGGGUUCGCUGCUGGCUCUCCGGAGCAUGUGCACGCCUCUCACAACUUUAUUCAACCACCUGUGCACCUCCUGUAGUCUCUCAGACACUUUUCAGUCUCCGGGCUGGCGGGGACAGCUGCCGUUUCGCAAGGAUCGGCUUCAGUCCAAUGUCUGUAGGGAACUACGUUCACACAUACUCUGUAAAAAAUAAAGAAUGCUUCACGGUCUAUGGACCUUAAAAAUUAAUACAACUUUCAACAACGGAUCUCUUGGCUCUCGCAUCGAUGAAGAACGCAGCGAAUUGCGAUAAGUAAUGUGAAUUGCAGAUUUCAGUGAAUCAUCGAAUCUUUGAACGCACCUUGCGCUCUUUGGUAUUCCGAAGAGCAUGCCUGUUUGAGUGUCAUUAAAUUCUCAACUCCCCAGUGGUUGUCAUGACCACUGUUGAGCUUGGACGUGAGGGUCUGCCGGCUUCCCCAAGUCGGCUCCCUUGAAAUGCAUUAGCGCAGCUUCCGCGAGUCGCUACAGGUGUGAUAAUCUAUCUACGUCUGUUUCAGCGUCGCGCAAACUAUGAAGAUUUGUGCUUCCAACCGUCUGCUUGCAGACAACAUCUUUGAACUUGACCUCAAAUCAGGUAGGACUACCCGCUGAACUUAA
rnacentral:sRNA from 2 species